UAGGGAAUCUUGCACAAUGGGCGAAAGCCUGAUGCAGCAACGCCGCGUGAAGGAUGAAGGCCUUCGGGUUGUAAACUUCUGUUCUAAGGGAAGAAACAAAUGACGGUACCUUAGGAGCAAGCCCCGGCUAACUACGUGCCAGCAGCCGCGGUAAUACGUAGGGGGCAAGCGUUAUCCGGAAUUAUUGGGCGUAAAGAGUGCGUAGGUGGUUACCUAAGCGCAAGGUUUAAUUUAGAGGCUCAACCUCUACUUGCCUUGCGAACUGGGCUACUUGAGUGCAGGAGGGGAAAGCGGAAUUCCUAGUGUAGCGGUGAAAUGCGUAGAUAUUAGGAGGAACACCAGCGGCGAAGGCGGCUUUCUGGACUGUAACUGACACUGAGGCACGAAAGCGUGGGUAGCAAACA
rnacentral:rRNA from 1 species